UGGAGUGUAGCUCAGUGGCAAAGCGCUUGCCUAGCAAGUGCAACAUCCUGGGUUCAAUCCCCAGCACCCCCC
rnacentral:tRNA from 1 species